GGCCAUGUCAUGUUGAAACACCAGUUCUCAUAUGAUCACUGAAGUUAAGCAACAGCAAGCCUCUUCAGUACCUUCAUGGGUGAAAGCUUGAGAAUACCAAGUGCUGUAA